rnacentral:rRNA from 1 species
UACGUAGGGUGCAAGCGUUGUCCGGAAUUAUUGGGCGUAAAGAGCUCGUAGGCGGUCUGUCGCGUCUGCUGUGAAAUCUCAGGGCUUAACCCUGAGCUUGCAGUGGGUACGGGCAGACUAGAGUGCGGUAGGGGAGACUGGAAUUCCUGGUGUAGCGGUGAAAUGCGCAGAUAUCAGGAGGAACACCAGCGGCGAAGGCGGCGCUCUGGGCCGGAACUGACGCUGAGGAGCGAAAGCGUGGGUAGCAAACAGG